rnacentral:misc_RNA from 1 species
GAUGAAGAACGUAGCGAAAUGCGAUACGUAGUGUGAAUUGCAGAAUUCAGUGAAUCAUCGAAUCUUUGAACGCACAUUGCACCUCUUGGUAUUCCGGGAGGUAUGCCUGUUCGAGCGUCAUUUGUACCCUCAAGCUCUGCUUGGUGUUGGGUGUUUGUUCCGCCUCUGUGUGUGAACUCGCCUCAAAACAAUUGGCAGCCGGCGUACUUGUUUCGGAGCGCAGCACAUUUUGCGAUCCAGAUCAACGUACAGCGGCAUCCAAGAAGCCUUAUUUAACGCUCUUGACCUCGGAUCAGGUAGGGAUACCCGCUGAACUUAAGCAUAUCAAUAAGCGGAGGA